rnacentral:lncRNA from 1 species
AAAGACAAAGAUGAUUAUGAACACAAAACCCAGUGGUUACCUCUGUGAACAAAGGUAAGGAGAGGUAAGCAGGCUUAGGGAGAGUGUGCCCAAUGCCUUCGGUCGGAGGAAUGAUGCUCAUGAAAGUUGGGAUUGGCUACAAAUGUUCUUUCUGCCUUUGUUUGAAGUAGUUGAACAGAAUUGCCAGCUCAGACUAUUUUAGGCCUACAACCUGGGACAUAGCCAUUGAUUUUAAAGUAUCAUAGAGAUCCAGCCAUGGUGCCACACAUCUUUAAUUCCAGCACUAAGAUGGCAGAGGCAGUAGAAUCUCCAUGAGUUCCAGGCCAGCCUGGUCCACAUAGUGAGUUCCAGGACAUCCAGGGCUACAUAGAGAAAUCCUGUCUCCAAAGAAAAAGAGGAAAAAUAUACCAGAGAACAAAUGAGAACACAAUGACGGAGUCUCGGUCCUUAUGAGGUGGGUAGUUCCAUUAGGCAAAGGUCCCCUCCCUCCCUGAGGUAACUGUUAGAACUCAGUGUGUUUGUAUUCAGUGAUCUGAGUCGAGCUGUGGAUGCAAGCAGCUUAGAAACAAGCAGAAGGAAUGAGAAUGGACAUCAGAAGAUAGAGUUCAGAAGACAGGAAAGGAAGGAAAGCACUGCAUUUUAUAUUCGAGGACACCCCCCACACACACAACACAGAUGAUAGAAUCAGAAAACGCUAUGAUCUUAUGUCUCUGCUUCGUUUGAAAAGAUAGGUGUUUUCUAAGUGAACUGGGUAGUUAUUAUUUGUGUCCUUCCAUGGACUAGUAAGUGCUAACUCUUUGUAGCUUACAUGGUGUAAAGAUGUUUUGCAAAGAUCAUACCCACCCCUCCCUCUCAAAAAAACUCCUUUAGGCAACCGAACAAAACUGGAUGAAAGUCAGCACAGCAAAAGCCAACUGCAACAUCAGAAAAUGUUUUCUAAUGCUGGGUCUAUUAGGUCCUGGAGUAAUCUCCACAGGAGGAGGUGAAGGCUGUAUUCGAGGAGAGACGUCAAACCUCAGUGAAAAUUUUGGUUGAAGCCAUAAACAAGGCGGAUGUUGGCAGCAGAUGAAGGCCGAGGCCUUGGGAACAUUACCAGGUUCUAACAAUUGCAGAAGCGCGAUGAAGGAGGAAAUCUCCCAGUCCACUGCUGUGUGCUGAAAGUACAGCUUCGAAGAAUUGGUUUGCUUUCCAAGAAAACAAAAUCAAUUUAAUCUUCAAGAAUAUGGCUUCCUACAGGGACCAACUCUAGGAGGAAGAAUGGUUCAGCAGUGAAAUGCAAUAGGUGCAGGCCUGUUGUAAUUAGAAUUCAUCUAGCUGUUCCAAGAUUCUCAAUUAAAGUAACCAUUCAAGACGGUUUGGAGCUUCCACUCACAGUUAAUGAGCACACAGUAGGUAGACCUGACGCCUAUUGUGAUGCUGUUUGCCUUGCAGCUCUGUCCUUCCCAGGUUUCUCCAGCACCGCGUCCUUCUUCCUUGGAUCUUUUGCUAAAUGCAUUUGGAGAAUUGGUCAGCUUCAUGCUUUCCUAUGGAAAGCCAUAGGAAGCCUUCAGGGGUGAAAACAACCAAAUGAAAAAGGCCUCGUUAGCUUCCUGCUCAAGCUGACCAGCCUGCAAAUAGCUCACUUGGUGCUGGAAGUUAUGUGGAUGGGAACAGAGGAGUCUUGGGACAACAGGCACACAUCCCUGUGGUGAACUGGUACCAGACGCUGGCAGCUGCAGAGUGACAAAGGAGACCAUGCCCCGUUCUUGUCUCAUUCAUCAGUUUUGACAUGUGAUGUCCUGACUCCCUGAACAUUCAUCAAAGGAGACAAAUCACAUUGAAUAUCAGCUUUGUCGGAAUGACUGAGGUUAGCAGUUGCCUAUAGAGAAAAAAUGGCUCAUAACUAGCUAUCAUGUAAGGGGAAAAGUUGGUUGCCCAUAUAAAUAAUUGUUUUCUUAUUUUUAACAGUCAUCUAUUCAUUUAAUUUAGCCCACCUCUUUCUGUUCCCAUUAUGUUCAUCUCAAUGCUGUAUGCAUCACAUAUUGAUUCUAAAAGUGGCCCCUGAUAUGUUUGUCUUCUUUGGUUUUUGUCCUUUCAACUUUGGCUACAAAAAA